UACAGAGGUCCCGAGCGUUGUUCGGAUUCACUGGGCGUAAAGGGUGCGUAGGUGGCAUGUUGAGUUUGAUGUGAAAGCUCAGGGCUUAACCCUGAAAUGGCAUUGAAUACUGGCGUGCUGGAGGUUUGGAGGGGGGACUGGAAUUCUUGGUGUAGCAGUGAAAUGCGUAGAUAUCAAGAGGAACACCAGUGGCGAAGGCGAGUCCCUGGACAACACCUGACACUGAGGCACGAAAGCUAGGGGAGCAAACAGG
rnacentral:rRNA from 1 species